rnacentral:rRNA from 1 species
UACGUAGGCGGAAAAUUAAGUCAGUAGUGAAAUCCCGCAGCUUAACUGUGGAACUGUUAUUGAUACUGGUUUUCUUGAAUAUAGUUGAGGUAGGCGGAAUGUGUAAUGUAGCGGUGAAAUGCUUAGAUAUUACACAGAACACCGAUUGCGAAGGCAGCUUACUAAGCUAUGAUUGACGCUGAGGUACAAAAGCGUGGGGAGCGAACAGGAUUAGAUACCCUGGUAGUCC